AUUCUGUUAGUGUACUGCACGUAAAGUUUUGAUCUUUAAAAAAUAAAUUUUUUAUACUGAAG
rnacentral:tRNA from 1 species